CCUGAGCCUAGAGGCCUUGCAGGUGUGGCUGCUGUGUCACAUGUGCAUCAGUAGGUAGCAGAGAGGAGAGAGACUAUGUCUAUGCUAUGGGUUCUGACCUGUGACACCUGAAUGAUUAGUAGUCUAAUAUU